UACGUAGGUGGCAAGCGUUGUCCGGAGUUAUUGGGCGUAAAGCGCGCGCAGGCGGUGCGUUAAGUCUCUGGUGAAAGCGCUCGGCUUAACUGGGCGAGGGCCGGGGAGACUGCCACGCUGGAGGGGAGCAGAGGCGAGUGGAAUUCCGGGUGUAGUGGUGAAAUGCGUAGAGAUCCGGAGGAACACCAGAGGCGAAGGCGGCCUGCUGGGCUGCACCUGACGCUGAGCCGCGAAAGCGAGGGGAGCGAACGGG
rnacentral:rRNA from 1 species